AGUGAACGCUGGCGGUAGGCCUAACACAUGCAAGUCGAACGGCAGCACAGUAAGAGCUUGCUCUUACGGGUGGCGAGUGGCGGACGGGUGAGGAAUACAUCGGAAUCUACUUUUUCGUGGGGGAUAACGUAGGGAAACUUACGCUAAUACCGCAUAAGACCUACGGGUGAAAGCAGGGGAGCUUCGGACCUUGCGCGAUUGAAUGAGCCGAUGUCGGAUUAGCUAGUUGGCGGGGUAAAGGCCCACCAAGGCGACGAUCCGGAGCUGGACUGAGAGGAUGAUCAGCCACACUGGAACUGAGACACGGUCCAGACUCCUACGGGAGGCAGCAGUGGGGAAUAUUGGACAAUGGGCGCAAGCCUGAUCCAGCCAUACCGCGUGGGUGAAGAAGGCCUUCGGGUUGUAAAGCCCUUUUGUUGGGAAAGAAAAGCAGCAGGUUAAUACCCCGCUGUUCUGACGGUACCCAAAGAAUAAGCACCGGCUAACUUCGUG
rnacentral:rRNA from 1 species